UACGAAGGGGGCUAGCGUUGCUCGGAAUCACUGGGCGUAAAGCGCACGUAGGCGGAUUGCUAAGUCAGGGGUGAAAUCCUGGAGCUCAACUCCAGAACUGCCUUUGAUACUGGCGACCUUGAGUCCGGGAGAGGUGAGUGGAACUGCGAGUGUAGAGGUGAAAUUCGUAGAUAUUCGCAAGAACACCAGUGGCGAAGGCGGCUCACUGGCCCGGUACUGACGCUGAGGUGCGAAAGCGUGGGGAGCAACA
rnacentral:rRNA from 1 species